UGUUAAAUAAUAUUCAUUGGAGCCUCACAAUUUAACUGAUGUAGAAUAACUGCUUGUUCCCAACUUAAAAUGAAAAAGAAAUAAAAAAUUUAAAUACAAAAAUAAAGAAUUGUGUAUAUAUAAUUUCAAAGUAGGUAAAGGAUAUAAGGGGAAAAUCUGUUGCAUGCUUGUUCCUGCAUUGAUUCUUAAUUUUUAUUAAUCAGCUUAUAUAUAACGCCUCUUACCUAUAAAAGAUGCCUUAGCUCUGUGGUAUUUAUAGUUUCAGCCAUAUGUGUGCCAUUGUCAACGAGUUUUUGUGCUAUUCCACUACUACUUUUGUGUACUAGACUAGUGGCAAUAUGUAUAAGUAGUUACUUCUACUGGAUAAUGACAAGAGAUUGGCGACCCAAAGAUCAAUGGAAAUUAUAUCGUACACAGCAAUAGCAAUAAAUCUGAUUUAUGAGUCUGCGUUAACCAGGGGUCGGCUGGUGUUGUUACUGAUCACCAGCCUGCUAACUGCUAUGUCCUACUUUUUCUACUGGGCAGUUACAUUCAAGACCUCUUCUUUGAAAAGGAACACCUCUAGUAAAGACUUGAAAGAAAAGGGCCAAUAAAAAGAUGGAAACCAGGAAAUGUUACCACAGAACAGGAAUCAGUAGAAUUACAUGGUGCUUUUCAAUUUGUAUUCCACAUUACAUUGACAAAAGUAUUUUUUGUGAUUUCUGGCAUUUUAGGGUAUCAAUUGUUUUUAAAAAUAUAUUUUCCAACCAAUAUAUACUUUUUCUUAAAUACUUUACAUAUAACUAGUAUUUAUUAAAAAAUGUUCAAAUUGUAUUAUUAUUUUUCUAAUUAAGGAUUAAAUGUUUGAUAAUAGAUAUUAUAAAAUUGUAAAAGCAAUGAUAUGAUUUGUUUAGCUCAGAAAAGCUUUGAAAAAAACAUGUAAAAAAAUAAACUUUCUAAGUAUUCAUGUUGAAACAUAUUUAUAAAAAAGUCUUUUACAAUUUCAUAAUAGUAUAUAGGUUACCUUUAACAUUUUUGAAGUGUCAUUUACGUUUUUGUAUAUUAGGAACCAGUUUAUACAGUGGGAUUAUGCCUAAGAGACCAUCAUCAGAUUUAGAAUUUCUUAUUUUCUUAUAAUAGUUUAUCUUGACACAUAAGCAUAUUUUGUUGUUUCAAUUUGACAUUUUUUACAGUAGCUAUAACCAUCUGAUGGAUUUUUAUAAAGACAUUUAUCAGCAGUAUGUAAAAUGUUCAAGACACAAAAAAAGUCAUAAAUUUAUCUGAAAAGUUUAGUGCGAGACGAUUAAGUCGGAAAUUAUAAGGGAAAGAUGGGGAAAACAUUUUAAUGUAUGAUGAUCUCCAAUAUAAAGUGUGUAGAUUAAGUUAUGUCAAUGUCAUAUAUAAAAACCACACAUCAUUAAUACCAUUGUCAUUUGUAUAUAAUACAUCUUCAUACAUUGGGUAUGCUUUUCAUGGCUUUACAUAUUUAGAAGUUUUGUAGAUCUCAAUGUCAUGUACACACAUUAGCUGUAGAAAGUUAACUGAGACUUAUCAUGUUCAUUUGAAUGUGAAAUAAAUCCUCGAGAAUAAUGAUAUCAUAUAUUCCUUAAAUGUGUUCACAUAGAGGGUCUCGAAAAAAGGGGCUGAUGUUUUUAAUAUAUUAUGAAAAUGUUUUUAUUCAUUCAAUUGUAUCUAAAGGGACCAAAGACUUCUGUCUUACAUAUAUUUGAAUCUUUUUGUUAAUUACCAAACAAGUUAUAGCAUAGCAAUAGUAUUUGACCAGAAAAUGAGGAAUUAGAUGCUCGCCUUGUUCAUAUAAAGAUAUAUGUUAUAUUUCAUUUGAGCUAUUGGAAAAGGAAACAUAUUAAAAUGUAACAGCUUAUUUCAGCUUAAGUAUAAAAUUGAGUCAAUGUAUUUUAAACAAUUCUUACUUCAAACACUGAAUAGGUAAAACAGUUUCAACAUAAAGGUGAUCAUUUCCUUUUCUACAAAAAAAUAAGUCAUGGCUUUAUCUCAAUGCAGUGAAAGUAUGAUACCCAAGAAAGAGCUUUUCAAAAGAAAAAGUGUCAUCAAAGAUACCAGGCUUAUAUUUGUGUAUGCCAGCAAUUCAGAAGAAUUUGUAAUGCAGAUUUGCAUCUAUAAUUAAUUAAUACCACUUAGACUAUGGGUUAUUUAUCAACUUUUUGAAAUUUUGGAUCCUCAAUGCUCUUCAACUUUGUACUUGAUUUGGCUUUAUAAAUAUUUUGAUAUGAGUGUCACUGAUGAGUCUUAUGAAGACGAAACGCGCGUCUGGCGUACUAAAUUGUAAUCCUGGUUCCUUUGAUAACUAUUAUCAGUUAGUCUGUCCAGGAAUCGAGGCAAAAUAAGAAAACAAUUAUCUUGAAUUACUUGCUGUAUCAACAAGAAAUUGAAAAGAAACUCAAGUUGUCAUUUUGAAAUAGACAAACUUCAGGAAAUUAUAUAUUUCAAUUGGUCAGAUUUGUCUGUAGUUUAAAGUUACUUAAUAGUACCAGAUGAAAAAAAAAAUUCAAGUAAUGCAGGGUAAAAUAAAUGGCAGUAAAAUAUUUGUUAAAUUAACCAAUAUAAAACCUUAGAAUUGAAUCAUCAGAAUGUUUAAUGAGUUAAGAUAUAUAUAUAAAAAAAAUGUAAGAAGUAUUUUAGGAUAUGUUUUUAUUAUUUUUAAGUAUAACUGAUUUUAUAAAUCCUGUUAAUGACUUAUUUUCAUAGUAUAUAAUGUUAUAUAAAGAACGUGUUAACACAAGUUACAAUGGAACAGGUUUAUGUAAGAAAUGUUUUGUGGAUAUAUCGUAAAACCUUAACAGAAAUCCCUCCUAUGUGAUAAUGUAAUGUUUGUAAAAUUGUGUUUGAUGCAUAAUUCAUUAAUUGUUUACAAAAAUAAACAACAUUUCAUGAUGAUA